GGGAUGUGCUGGCUGAAGCAAAGUGUAGGAGAAGGGAAAAUGGGGUGGAUGUGAGGGAAGGGGGUGUACUGUGGGCAUCCUUGAGGUAUCUGUGAGCUGAGGUGUCUUCCAGAAAUAGUUGAAGCCAGUGGCUGUCUUGAAGGUGACAGCGGGGAUCUAAUGACCCCUGGCUUCCCUGGGCAGAACUACCAGAACGCAGCAUUAUACCAGAUCCACAUCCUGCUCAUCUAAACAGUUCUUGAAGGAUAUCUGUGCCCUAUGGAUUCUUAAACUGCAAAUGACUGAAAUGGCCAUCACGGGACAGACUGGACACUGCAAAGAGGAUAAACUGGUUGUUUCAGAUGAUUAAAGCAUUCUAGGCACACACUGUGGCGCCAUUCUUACCCCAGUGCUGGUCAGUGCUAGUGGCACAAAAUCUGUCACCUCCUAGUCUGACAGUUGCCUCGCAGGCCAAGAAUUCUCCGUCAUGUGGGAGACUGUGUAUCCUGAGGAUAUUGCAGGUAUGGUGAUGAGUUGUAGCGUUGGCACAUGUGCCUUGGCAAACAACCUGA